rnacentral:rRNA from 1 species
CACCGCGGUUAUACGAGAGACUCAAGUUGACACCCGCGGCGUAAAGAGUGGUUAAGGGCACAACAACUAAAGCCGAACCUCUCCCAAGCCGUUGCACGCUUACGGAAGAAUGAAGCCCCCUCACGAAAGUGGCUUUAUUCCACCUGAACCCACGAUAGCUAGGAGA